AUCCAGCUAAGGAGUCUCAAACAGGACGAAACGCGCGUCAAACUGGAU
rnacentral:hammerhead_ribozyme from 1 species